UCCUUAUCAUGAUAACAUUCCUAUUUCUUACGUGCUUGCAACUUGCCAUGGCGUUUUAUACUUUUUAUGGCUUUACAGAAGAUAGUGGGAUAGUGAAAUAUCUUAAAUAAUAGCGGGUUUUAUUCAAACAUCAUUUCAAAGAUAAAGAUGACUAAGGUGACUAGGAAGAGUCCUUUCAGUUUAUGGUGGGCAAUAAAAGUGAGGAUUCCUUGUUGUAGGAUGAUUUUCAGAGUCAAUACAUAAUAUGUGGUAGGAUUGACAGCACCGUAUACAUUUUAAGUUUUCUUCAAAAACAGGUGCUCCACAUAGUGGGCAUUUGGAAAGUUCUGGCUGUUGUGAGUGUUGUUUUAGACAAGUUCCUCUUAUUUUGUUGUAAAUUCUAACCCUCAUCUUAUAUGGAUCACAGCCAUCACUCAUUGACUUUCCUUGCACAAACUGUGAUGCAUACCAGCAAACAAAAACACCACAACUUGAAGUAUCUUGUUGAAGAGUAUGCGGCGACCAAAGUCUUCCUCCCUGACCACCAUUUUGCAAGGAAAGCAUUGAUGUGGAUGCUGCAUAAAGAACAUGUUCAUGAUCUUCCUGUAGACACCAGAAAAAUGAAUUGAUUACUUCAUCAUACAACCAGCCAGAGAUACAGAAUGUGGUCCAUUCCUUAAUAGUUUUGCGGUGAUUGAUGAAGAUUCUGUAAUGAGAGGUGUGAAACCUGUGUGAGGAGUUGGCAUGAAAGGAAUUGUUUGUGUAUCUUUGCUGGAUGAUUGCGUUUCCAUUUUCUCUAGAGAUAAGUCUUUAUUAUAGAAUUUUCUCAUCAUUGCAGCAUGUUGGCCAACUCUUCUAUUGUAUGGGUGUAUCUUCUUUAAUUUUGCAGAUGGUAGAUUAGAUAAUCUGGCUUUCUUUUUAGGAUUGCUGGUUGUUGACUUGCUGAUAUUUGAUGUUCUUUUUUUACGUUUCAUUGACGUUUUCCCGGCGUCAGGAGCUAUGUCCAACGUUCCCAUGCUUGCUCUCGAUGAAAAUCGCAAAGCAGCACUUUGCAGUCUGAAAAUAUACCCACAUGUUACACUCCAUGAUGAAUUGCAGAGCUACGUAGCCAUGGUGUUACAUGGUUGAUUUAGUGCAAUAAAGAAUGCCAGAUGUUUUGGUCAAAACCUCUUGCAGCUCGUGCCUCAUACCUGGAAAAACAAACUCAAUUGAUUUUAUUUCUUCUUCACAAAGAUCGGUCAUCAUAUGCUGUGGGUUCCAUCGUGGAUUCCAUUGAUGUAAAAUACUGAGAGCUUCUGUUAUACUAGCUGUUGUUUCAUCUUGUAUUACAAAGGAUGAAACGAUAGCAUAAUCAACAUUAGUCUUCACAGCAACAAAAAAUAAUGGCAAGGAAUACUUUGUGGUUUUGUAUGUGGCAUCUAGGAAAGCUAGUUCCUGACCAUAACGACAAAGUAACCUUGAUUGCCAAGCCGUUUGGUGUAUAAACAAAAGUCGCCCUUUUUGCUCCUUUGCAGUCGUCAUAACCUCUUCAUUUAAACUUAUGUCGUCAUCGCUGUCUUCUUCAUUUUCUCUGGGAAAGUAUCGUCGAUUGUCACGCAGAGGUUGUUCUUUUCCUCGAAAAAGCUCAUCCUGUAUGUAUAUUUUCAAAUGACGUUUCAUCUCAUGAACAGUUCGCACUCCUUCACUGACAAGUUCUUCUAUCUUUCUAAUAACCUUUUCAUCUAGUCGUUGUGUCAUUCCGCUGUGCUGAAAUAGCAAAAGGCAAAACUAAUUGCAAGACGAGCAUGUCAAACAAGAGCAUAUACCAUUCCAAGUCUGUGCGUGGUGUGAUCUUCUGGCCGCGGAAAUGAAAUAUAGAUUCUGCGUUCAGUUUUUACUGAGGAGCUGGGGUUUAUUAAAUGGGCUCGCAAAUCAGCAGAGGUCGUGUCACGUUUCUUCUUUUUAGCGUCAUGUGGCACCUAAAAAUAUUGCACUCUAAUCUUUUAGAAAAAAACCAAUUUAACAUGUGUAUACUUGUCGAUUUACUAUGAACAAAAAUAAAGCCACAGUAUAAGCAA